rnacentral:snRNA from 1 species
GUGCUCGCUUCGGCAGCACAUAUACUAAAAAUUGGAAUGAUACAGAGAAGAUUAGCAUGGCCCCUGUGCAAGGAUGACACGCAAAAUCAUGAAGCGUUCCGUAUUUUU